rnacentral:rRNA from 1 species
CAGUGUCGGCUCAGUAACACGUAGUCAACCUGCCCUGGAGACGAGGACAAGCCCGGGAAACUGGGGAUGAUCCUCGAUAGAUGACCUCAUCUGGAAGGAGAGGUCGUCCAAAGGGUGCCACGGGUAUCCUCUGUGGUUCGCUCCAGGAUGGGACUGCGGCCGAUCAGGCUGUUGGCGGGGUAAUGGCCCACCAAAGCUGUAACCGGUACGGGCUUUGAGAGAAGGAGCCCGGAGAUGGACACUGAGACAAGGGUCCAGGCCCUACGGGGCGCAUCAGGCGCGAAAACUUCGCAAUGCGCGAAAGCGUGACGAGGCUAGUCCGAGUGCUCUCCGCUAGAGGGCUUUUCUCGGCUGUAAAUAGCCCGGGGAAUAAGGGGAGGGCAAGUCUGGUGUCAGCCGCCGCGGUAAUACCAGCUCCUCGAGUGGUCGGGACGAUUAUUGGGCCUAAAGCACCCGUAGCCGGUUCCGUAAGUCCUCUGUUAAAUCCAGUCGCUCAACGGCUGGCCUGCAGGGGAUACUGCGAGACUAGGAGGCGGGAGAGGCGGACGGUACUCCGCGUGUAGGGGUAAAAUCCUUUGAUCCGCGGAAGACCACCAGUGGCGAAGGCGGUCCGCCAGAACGCGCUCGACGGUGAGGGGUGAAAGCUGGGGGAGCGAACCGGAUUAGAUACCCGGGUAGUCCCAGCCGUAAACGAUGCGAGCUAGAUGAUUCGGUCGCAGUUCGCGAUCGAAGUGUCGCAGGGAAGCCGUUAAGCUCGCCGCCUGGGGAGUACGGUCGCAAGGCUGAACUUAAAGGCCA